ACAGCAGCCGCCACGGUAAUACAGAGGGUGCGAGCGUUAAUCGGAUUUACUGGGCGUAAAGCGUGCGUAGGCGGCUUCUUAAGUCGGAUGUGAAAUCCCUGAGCUUAACUUAGGAAUUGCAUUCGAUACUGGGAAGCUAGAGUAUGGGAGAGGAUGGUAGAAUUCCAGGUGUAGCGGUGAAAUGCGUAGAGAUCUGGAGGAAUACCGAUGGCGAAGGCAGCCAUCUGGCCUAAUACUGACGCUGAGGUACGAAAGCAUGGGGAGCAAACAGGAUUAGAGACCCCCGUAGUCCCUGUCUCUUAUAC
rnacentral:rRNA from 1 species